GACCAGUGUCAUGACUGGUCACUGCGUAGUGAAUACAUAGCUGCGCAGAGGCAGACGUGGGGAACUGAAACAUCUAAGUACCCACAGGAAUAUAAAGAAAUUUCGAUUCCCAAAGUAGCGGCGAGCGAACUGGGAAUAGCCCAAACCGGACCUUUAUGGUCCGGGGUUGUAGGACUGAACAUUUGAGUUACAAAAGUAUUUGAUAAUUGAAGCAGCUGGGAAGCUGCACCAAAGAGAGUGAUAGUCUCGUAAAUGAAAUCGAAUACCCUCAGUUCAGGAUCCUGAGUACGGCGCCACACGUGUAACGGCGUCGGAAUCCGGGAGGACCAUCUCCCAAGGCUAAAUACUCCCUAGUGACCGAUAGUGAACC
rnacentral:rRNA from 2 species